rnacentral:lncRNA from 1 species
CAGAGCAAGGGUCUGAUCUGUCUGCAAACUGAUGUUUAAACCAGCUGUCAUUAUAAAGCAAACCAAGAACCUGACUGCUUGAGUCAGAGUCCCUGAAAAUGGGCUAAAGUCUGGAUAUCAUACAUCAGGCUGCUUGCUGUUGUACUCAAGUGUUCUCAGGUACAGUGCUGCUGUGUACCUUGGAAGAAAAGUGACUAACAGCUCUCCACAAUGGGAGUGGAAAUAAUGGCAGGGGUAGCAAAGACAUGAAAAGUUUUGAAAAGCAAUAUUCUUCAGUGUUGGGAAAGUAAUAAAAGGUCAGAACAAAGCUCA